rnacentral:rRNA from 1 species
AUUGAACGCUGGCGGCAUGCCUUACACAUGCAAGUCGAACGGUAACAGGUCUUCGGAUGCUGACGAGUGGCGAACGGGUGAGUAAUACAUCGGAACGUGCCCGAUCGUGGGGGAUAACGGAGCGAAAGCUUUGCUAAUACCGCAUACGAUCUACGGAUGAAAGCAGGGGACCGCAAGGCCUUGCGCGGACGGAGCGGCCGAUGGCAGAUUAGGUAGUUGGUGGGAUAAAAGCUUACCAAGCCGACGAUCUGUAGCUGGUCUGAGAGGACGACCAGCCACACUGGGACUGAGACACGGCCCAGACUCCUACGGGAGGCAGCAGUGGGGAAUUUUGGACAAUGGGCGAAAGCCUGAUCCAGCCAUGCCGCGUGCAGGAUGAAGGCCUUCGGGUUGUAAACUGCUUUUGUACGGAACGAAAAGGCUCUUUCUAAUAAAGAGGGUCCAUGACGGUACCGUAAGAAUAAGCACCGGCUAACUACGUG